AGUGAGAUGGCUGAGUUUAAGCGAUAAAUUGUAAAUUUAUUUACGGAUUAGAUCCUCUUGCUA
rnacentral:tRNA from 1 species